rnacentral:rRNA from 1 species
GAUGAACGCUAGCGGCAGGCCUAACACAUGCAAGUCGAGGGGUAACAUAGGAAAGCUUGCUUUUCUGAUGACGACCGGCGCACGGGUGCGUAACGCGUAUACAACCUACCUUUUAGCGGGGAAUAGCCCAGGGAAACUUGGAUUAAUGCCCCAUAGUAUAUAGACUUCUCCUGAAGUUUAUAUUAAACAUUUAUGGCUAUUAGAUGGGUAUGCGUCCUAUUAGUUAGUUGGUAAGGUAACGGCUUACCAAGGCAGCGAUAGGUAGGGGUCCUGAGAGGGAGAUCCCCACACUGGUACUGAGACACGGACCAGACUCCUACGGGAGGCGGCAGUGAGGAAUAUUGGACAAUGGGCGAGAGCCUGAUCCAGCCAUGCCGCGUGCAGGAAGACUGCCCUAUGGGUUGUAAACUGCUUUUACAGAGGAAGAACCACCCCCACGUGUGGGGGUUUGACGGUACUCUGCGAAUAAGGAUCGGCUAACUCCGUG